CCUACGGGAGGCAGCAGUGAGGAAUAUUGGUCAAUGGACGAGAGUCUGAACCAGCCAAGUAGCGUGAAGGAUGACUGCUUUAUGGGUUGUAAACUUCUUUUAUAUGGGAAUAAAAUGUUCCACGUGUGGGAUUUUGUCUGUACCAUAUGAAUAAGGAUCGGCUAACUCCGUGCCAGCAGCCGCGGUAAUACGGAGGAUCCGAGCGUUAUCCGGAUUUAUUGGGUUUAAAGGGAGCGUAGGUGGAUUGUUAAGUCAGUUGUGAAAGUUUGCGGCUCAACCGUAAAAUUGCAGUUGAAACUGGCAGUCUUGAGUACAGUAGAGGUGGGCGGAAUUCGUGGUGUAGCGGUGAAAUGCUUAGAUAUCACGAAGAACUCCGAUUGCGAAGGCAGUUCACUGGACUGCAACUGACACUGAGGCUCGAAAGUGUGGGUAUCAAACAGGAUUAGAUACCCCAGUAGUC
rnacentral:rRNA from 1 species